ACGAUGAUGGAGGAGCUUGCUCUUCCUGAUUAGUGGCGCACGGGUGAGUAUACCAUAGAUAAUGUACCCCUUAGUUCGGGAUAGCCACUGGAAACGGUGAUUAAUACCGGAUACUCCUUCUUGUCUUAAUGCAAGUCGGGAAAGUUUUUUCGCUAAGGGAUCAGUCUAUGUCCUAUCAGCUUGUUGGUGAGGUAAUGGCUCACCAAGGCUAUGACGGGUAUCUGGUUUGAGAGGAUGAUCAGACACACUGGAACUGAGACACGGUCCAGACUCCUACGGGAGGCAGCAGUGAGGAAUAUUGCACAAUGGAGGAAACUCUGAUGCAGCAACGCCGCGUGGAGGAUGACGCAUUUCGGUGUGUAAACUCCUUUUAUUAGGGAAGAUUAUGACGGUACCUAAUGAAUAAGCACCGGCUAACUCCGUGCCAGCAGCCGCGGUAAUACGGAGGGUGCAAGCGUUACUCGGAAUCACUGGGCGUAAAGGGUGCGUAGGCUGGCUUCUAAGUCAGAUGUGAAAUCCAAUGGCUCAACCAUUGAACUGCAUUUGAAACUGGGAGCCUAGAGUUCAGAAGGGGCAGAUGGAAUUAGUGGUGUAGGGGUAAAAUCCGUAGAUAUCACUAGGAAUAUCAAAAGCGAAGGCGAUCUGCUGGGAUGAUACUGACGCUGAGGCACGAAAGCGUGGGAGCAAACAGGAUUAGAUACCCUGGUAGUCCACGCCCUAAACGAUGAAUGCUAGUCGUCGGGGAGCUCGUCUCUUCGGUGAUGCACUUAACAGAUUAAGCAUUCCGCCUGGGGAGUACGG
rnacentral:rRNA from 1 species